UGUACAGUAUUAACUGGUCAGUGACACCAACCACUGAUUCUAAAAUUAGUCUCUCAUUGUUUUGAUACAUUUUGUCACUGAGGGAUGUGACUGUUACAGGCAGUGGGAUAGAUACUGGCUGUAGAUCAAGAAGUCAGAAGUGAGUGAGACUGUCUCUGUGAUAGAAGAACUUCAUGGAUCUCAAGUUAUUUCCUCAGCAAACAGGAUAUGUGUAACACUGCUGCUAAAGUCCAGGGCAAAGGUGCACCACAGCAUGGCCUCUCCCUCAGAUGUCAAAUAAUGCCAGGGUUACACCUUUUUCAGAGUGUCUUCACUCAUCAUGGUAUCCAUCCUACAUAUCACCAGCUCUCUGUGAUGCAGUGCUAGCCUCACCACACCAGCAAAGGAUAUGUGACUUUUCACAAGCUGAGUUAGAAAUAAUCCCCAUCGUACUUGAUAAUGGAAAAAGAAAAAAUGGAAAAUAAAAGAAUGACUGAGUUCAUUCAGCCUUACAAGCUUGAGUGACACAUUACUUGAAGACACCAUGAUGGAACAAGUCACACAUCUGCCAGCACAAGUUUCUGGAUUUAAUCUCCAUGCUGUAGCUGCUUUUCUGGGCGUCGCUUGAUGAGACUGUACGCUCGCCUCUGGGAGUUGAUCGCCGCGGGCCGCACAGACUUCCCCGUGAGUGAAUCAGUGAGUGACGUCACGUGAGAAGCAAGUUAGUCAACCAGGAUGUGCUCCCACAGGUGUCUUCCGUCUCCCGCCCACUGUAUGUUGACCGGUGAUUGAGCUCUUUAUUCUACCCGUCUCUCUCUCUCUCUCUCUCUCUCUCUCUCUCUCUCUCUCUCUCUCUCUCUGUGUGUGUGUGUGUGUGUGUGUGAUAUUGAUGAACUGGGAGAAGGGGCGAGGAAACGUUAUACAUGUGCAAAUUGUGAAAAACGAACUAAAUAAAAAAGGCACUUUCAAACGUCACAGCAGUCAGUGGACGGUUAAUUGAACACCCGCCCGUUAUCACACACCGCCGAGCUGAUAGGAAUCUUACUUACACCUGACCAUACUGGGAGGGAGAGACAGGUGGUGGUGUGGUGAUGGUGAGGAGGAAAGUGUAGAGCUGAGCCCAUCACUAAUCAGAGUACGCCGCGCUACCUUACUUGUCUGACAGCGAGGCACCACCAGGAAUCACUAACGAAUGAAUAACGUCAAGGCCUGUGUGUGUGUGUGUGUGUGUGUGUGUGUGUGUGUGUGUGUGUGUGUGGUGGCACUUUAAGCUAUACAGCCACUCAUCGCCCCGAGGGUGUUGGAAAGAGAGAGGAGAUUAAGUUGCUGCAACGCAUGACGCAUCGCCGUAGUGUAGAGGCUGCUGAAUAACAUAUGAACGUGUCCAGGCAUAAAGGUCCCUCUUCUCCUGUAGCUUAGUCAUAGGUUUCCUCUUCUACCUAACGAUCAAUAAACGAAACCUCCUUCAUGUUUCUCUUCUUUUUUUCUUUAGCCACUCACUGACUUCACUUCUGUUAUUGUACGAUAGAUAAAUAAUCCAGAUAUUUUCUUAUCUACGUAAUGAUCAAUAAAUAUAACUUUCUUAUGGUCUCUUUCCUUCACUCUCUCUCUCUCUCUCAGCCAAAAGAUUGGGUGUCUGUUACUGUAUGGUAAAAAUAAUGUAUAACAA